rnacentral:tRNA from 1 species
GUCCUUGUUGCCGGUGGACUUCAGACCGGCGCUCACGCCAGCGGCGCGGAAACCGGCAGGUGCGGUGACGCUCAUGGUGCGACUCCCUGCGUGGUCA